UGGGGAAUAUUGCACAAUGGGCGCAAGCCUGAUGCAGCCAUGCCGCGUGUAUGAAGAAGGCCUUCGGGUUGUAAAGUACUUUCAGCGGGGAGGAAGGUGUUGUGGUUAAUAACCACAGCAAUUGACGUUACCCGCAGAAGAAGCACCGGCUAACUCCGUGCCAGCAGCCGCGGUAAUACGGAGGGUGCAAGCGUUAAUCGGAAUUACUGGGCGUAAAGCGCACGCAGGCGGUCUGUCAAGUCGGAUGUGAAAUCCCCGGGCUCAACCUGGGAACUGCAUCCGAAACUGGCAGGCUUGAGUCUUGUAGAGGGGGGUAGAAUUCCAGGUGUAGCGGUGAAAUGCGUAGAGAUCUGGAGGAAUACCGGUGGCGAAGGCGGCCCCCUGGACAAAGACUGACGCUCAGGUGCGAAAGCAUGGGGAGCAAACA
rnacentral:rRNA from 1 species